rnacentral:other from 1 species
GAUUUCCUGCGGUAUUCGUGACCGUGGUCAUUACAUCUCUUACCGAUGCUUAUGGCUAUGGUAGUUAGCUUAAGCGCAGGCGUGAACCUCUCUCGUCAGAGGAUCCCAAUGCGCUAUACGAGCCGACCACCAACUUGAACUUUUGGGGUUCGAGAUGCCGACCUUGACGGUACCGCGGGUAUUUA